rnacentral:rRNA from 1 species
UACGUAGGGGGCUAGCGUUGUCCGGAAUCAUUGGGCGUAAAGCGCGUGUAGGCGGCCCGGUAAGUCCGCUGUGAAAGUCGGGGGCUCAACCCUCGAAUGCCGGUGGAUACUGUCGGGCUAGAGUCCGGAAGAGGCGAGUGGAAUUCCUGGUGUAGCGGUGAAAUGCGCAGAUAUCAGGAGGAACACCAAUGGCGAAGGCAGCUCGCUGGGACGUGACUGACGCUGAGACGCGAAAGCGUGGGGAGCAAACAGG